rnacentral:rRNA from 1 species
GACGAACGCUGGCGGCGUGCCUAAUACAUGCAAGUAGAACGCUGAAGAGAGGAGCUUGCUCUUCUUGGAUGAGUUGCGAACGGGUGAGUAACGCGUAGGUAACCUGCCUUGUAGCGGGGGAUAACUAUUGGAAACGAUAGCUAAUACCGCAUAACAAUGGAUGACACAUGUCAUUUAUUUGAAAGGGGCAAUUGCUCCACUACAAGAUGGACCUGCGUUGUAUUAGCUAGUAGGUGAGGUAACGGCUCACCUAGGCGACGAUACAUAGCCGACCUGAGAGGGUGAUCGGCCACACUGGGACUGAGACACGGCCCAGACCCCUACGGGAGGCAGCAGUAGGGAAUCUUCGGCAAUGGGGGCAACCCUGACCGAGCAACGCCGCGUGAGUGAAGAAGGUUUUCGGAUCGUAAAGCUCUGUUGUAAGUCAAGAACGAGUGUGAGAGUGGAAAGUUCACACUGUGACGGUAGCUUACCAGAAAGGGACGGCUAACUACGUG